rnacentral:rRNA from 1 species
CCUACUGGAGGCUGCAGUGAGGAAUAUUGGUCAAUGGACGAGAGCCUGAACCAGCCAAGUAGCGUGAAGGAUGACUGCCCUAUGGGUUGUAAACUUCUUUUAUAUGGGAAUAAAUUGUUCCACGUGUGGGAUUUUGUAUGUACCAUAUGAAUAAGGAUCGGCUAAUUCCGUGCCAGCAGCCGCGGUAAUACGGAGGAUCCGAGCGUUAUCCGGAUUUAUUGGGUUUAAAGGGUGCGUAGGCGGGUUAUUAAGUCAGUUGUGAAAGUUUGCGGCUCAACCGUAAAAUUGCAGUUGAAACUGGCAGUCUUGAGUACGGGAGAGGUAGGUGGAAUUCGUGGUGUAGCGGUGAAAUGCUUAGAUAUCACGAAGAACUCCGAUUGCGAAGGCAGCUCACUGGACUGCAACUGACGCUGAGGCUCGAAAGUGUGGGUAUCAAACAGGAUUAGAUACCCUGGUAGUC